CCUACGGGAGGCAGCAGUAGGGAAUUUUCGGCAAUGGGGGGAACCCUGCCCGAGCAACGCCGCGUGAACGAAGAAGUUAUUCGUAAUGUAAAGUUCUUUUAACAGGGAAGAAAGUGAAUUUUGACGGUAGCUGAACAAUAAUACCCGGCUAACUACGUGCCAGUAGCCGCGGUAAUACGUAGUGAGCGAGCGUUAUCCGGAAUUCGUGGGCGUAAAGGGUGCGUAGAUGGCAUAGAAAGUCUUUUGUAAAAAGGCUGGGCUAAACCCAGUAGGGCAAAAGAUACUGCAAAGCUAGAGGAUGACAGAGGCAAGUGGAACUACAUGUGUAGCGGUAAAAUGCGUAAAUAUAUGUAAGAAGACCAGGGGCGAAGGCGACUUGCUGGGUCGAUACUGACAUUGAGGCACGAAAGCGUGGGGAGCAAACAGGAUUAGAGACCCUUGUAGUC
rnacentral:rRNA from 1 species